CAUGCCUCAUGGCAUAUUUUAAAAGUAGAAAAUGCAGACUAAAGGAGGGAACAUGUAGCUGUGAUGAGAGGUUGGACUGACCUCUUAACUUUCCGAGAAGCCUUAGUUCUUGAAGGGUUGUGCCCCUGAGCCCAAGGAGAGUGGAAAUGACAGGGAGUGUGUCUUCCUGGCUCUUACCCACCACUGCAAGUGGGAAGCGUGGGCUUUGCUUGCUGGUGACAUCAUUCUGCAGGCUGGUGGCACUCUUAGUAUCCUUAGGCUGUUGCUGCGGGUGAUUGGGAAGAGAGGUCAGCGUUUGUUCUCAUUUGUGGGAGCUGGCA